rnacentral:rRNA from 1 species
UACGGGAGGCAGCAGUAGGGAAUCUUCCGCAAUGGACGAAAGUCUGACGGAGCAACGCCGCGUGAGUGAUGAAGGUUUUCGGAUCGUAAAGCUCUGUUGUUAGGGAAGAACAAGUGCCGUUCAAAUAGGGCGGCACCUUGACGGUACCUAACCAGAAAGCCACGGCUAACUACGUGCCAGCAGCCGCGGUAAUACGUAGGUGGCAAGCGUUGUCCGGAAUUAUUGGGCGUAAAGGGCUCGCAGGCGGUUUCUUAAGUCUGAUGUGAAAGCCCCCGGCUCAACCGGGGAGGGUCAUUGGAAACUGGGGAACUUGAGUGCAGAAGAGGAGAGUGGAAUUCCACGUGUAGCGGUGAAAUGCGUAGAGAUGUGGAGGAACACCAGUGGCGAAGGCGACUCUCUGGUCUGUAACUGACGCUGAGGAGCGAAAGCGUGGGGAGCGAACAGGAUUAGAUACCCUGGUAGUCCACGCCGUAAACGAUGAGUGCUAAGUGUUAGGGGGUUUCCGCCCCUUAGUGCUGCAGCUAACGCAUUAAGCACUCCGCCUGGGGAGUACGGUCGCAAGACUGAAACUCAAAGGAAUUGACGGGGGCCCGCACAAGCGGUGGAGCAUGUGGUUUAAUUCGAAGCAACGCGAAGAACCUUACCAGGUCUUGACAUCCUCUGACAAUCCUAGAGAUAGGACGUCCCCUUCGGGGGCAGAGUGACAGUGGUGCAUGGUUGUCGUCAGCUCGUGUCGUGAGAUGUUGGGUUAAGUCCCGCAACGAGCGCAACCCUUGAUCUUAGUUGCCAGCAUUCAGUUGGGCACUCUAAGGUGACUGCCGGGUGAACAAACCG